AGCGAACGCUGGCGGCAGGCUAAACACAUGCAAGUCGAGCGGGUGUAGCAAUACAUCAGCGGCAGACGGGUGUGUAACGCGUGGGAACGUACCUUUUGGUUCGGAACAACACAGGGAAACUUGUGCUAAUACCGGAUAAGCCCUUACGGGGAAAGAUUUAUCGCCGAAAGAUCGGCCCGCGUCUGAUUAGCUAGUUGGUAGGGUAACGGCCUACCAAGGCGACGAUCAGUAGCUGGUCUGAGAGGAUGAUCAGCCACAUUGGGACUGAGACACGGCCCAAACUCGUACGGGAGGCAGCAGUGGGGAAUAUUGGACAAUGGGGACAACCCUGAUCCAGCCAUGCCGCGUGAGUGAUGAAGGCCCUAGGGUUGUAAAGCUCUUUUGUGCGGGAAGAUAAUGACGGUACCGCAAGAAUAAGCCCCGGCUAACUUCGUGCCAGCCGCCGCAGUAAAAC
rnacentral:rRNA from 1 species